rnacentral:rRNA from 1 species
ACGAACGCUGGCGGCGUGCUUAACACAUGCAAGUCGAACGGAAAGGCCCUGCUUUUGUGGGGUGCUCGAGUGGCGAACGGGUGAGUAACACGUGAGUAACCUGCCCUUGACUUUGGGAUAACUUCAGGAAACUGGGGCUACUACCGGAUAGGAGCUCCUGCUGCCUGGUGGGGGUUGGAAAGUUUCGGCGGUUGGGGAUGGACUCGCGGCUUAUCAGCUUGUUGGUGGGGUAGUGGCUUACCAAGGCUUUGACGGGUAGCCGGCCUGAGAGGGUGACCGGCCACAUUGGGACUGAGAGACGGCCCAGACUCCUACGGGAGGCAGCAGUGGGGAAUAUUGCACAAUGGGCGGAAGCCUGAUGCAGCAACGCCGCGUGCGGGAUGACGGCCUUCGGGUUGUAAACCGCUUUCGCCUGUGACGAAGCGUGAGUGACGGUAAUGGGUAAAGAAGCACCGGCUAACUACGUG